rnacentral:sRNA from 1 species
UAUUCUGCCCCAUGGGGAAGGAUGAGAAGCUUCGACUAAGGUUCGACUCGAGCGAAGCGAGAGAACGUUGCCGCAGGCAAUGGCCCGAAGGGCGAGGAGCGAUAGCGACGAGUUAUCCUUCCCCCACCACCA